rnacentral:rRNA from 1 species
GACGAACGCUGGCGGCGUGCUUAACACAUGCAAGUCGAGCGGAGCGGCGAACGGGUGAGUAAAGCGUGAGUAACUGCCCCCCUCUCUGGGAUAACAGUUGGCAACGGCUGCUAAUACCCGAUAGUAGGGGAUGAAUCGCGUCCUAUCAGCUUUUUGGUGGGGUAGUGGCCUACGAAGGCGACGACGGGUAGCCGGCCUGAGAGGGCGACCAGCCGCAAUGGGCUGAGAUACGGACCAAACUCCUACGGGAGGCAGCAGUGGGGAAUAUUGCACAAUGAGGGAAACCCUGAUGCUGCAACGCCGCGUGCGGGAUGACGGCCUUCGGGUUGUUAACCGCUUUCAGCCAUGACGCGGUAGUGGCAGAAGAAGCACCGGCUAACUACGUGCCAGCAGCCGCGGUAAUAC